rfam:Chryseobacterium solincola strain DSM 22468 contig02, whole genome shotgun sequence.
UUCUAGCCCCGAUCGCAGCGGCAUCCUUUCGCCCGGGAGCUUCCGGGAGAAAGAUACAGCGAAGAGCGGGAACCCAU